rnacentral:lncRNA from 1 species
UAGUGUGGAGGGGGGACGCCCGGCCGGACCGCCUUGCCGGUCGCAGGCCCGGGGAGGGAGUUCAUCCUUCAGCAGGGCAGGAGGCCCUGACAUGUCCCUUUGCCCAGGAGAUUUGGGCACACACACCCCAGGAGGUCCCUCUUGAAAGAGCCAGAACGUAGGGAGCUCCUGCCCGAAGGUGGACAGACCUAGGUGUGGUGUGCAUAAGUGUGUGUGUAUGUGUGUGUGUCUCUGCGUGUGCGCGCGUGCAAGGCGAGAGGGUCUCCGCGUACCCCGCACCCUCUAUCUGGGAUUCUAUAUUUUCCCUUCCUUUGUUCUCAAAAUAGUAGGCUAGCGGGUCUGCGCUGCCCUGAGAAGGGGUGGGGGCCGUUGCGCGCUCGCUCUCGCGCGCCCGAGUUAGCUGCAGGGUUACAAACAGUCUCUCCCUGCUCCCCCGGCCUGAAUUAAUGUGUUACUAUUUUGGGCGCGCCAGUGUUUCCAGGGGAAACCUAAUGACGCAAUGACGUCAAUGCAGGUCAGCAGCAGACUCUCCGGGAGGGCGGGCGGGCUCCCGGCUUUCAGGCUCGGCGCAGUCUACUGGCGGGAGGGCGCCGGCGAGGUGGCGAGGGCGGCAGGCGCGGGGGCGCGGGAACCCCGGCCAGGCCCAGGGACCAGAGGGCGCCCCCUCCCAGCGCCCGGACCCGGGGGAGCCAGAGAAGCCAGCAGGUCCGGACUCGAUGAGGGGGCUCCACGCCGGGCCUCCCACGCACAGUUGUUCCAGAUUUCACCCUACCCCCAGCCGGGCGGUGGCCGUCUUUUCUCCACACUGGCCACAGCUUCGGGCGGCUGCGGACUUCUCAGAGCUCAAGCUAUCUUCUUGCCCCAGCUCACUUGUGCCCUUCCCUCCUUGGAGCGUGAGUUGAAGAGGAGGAAAUCCCUUUCCAUCCGCCCCCUUUCGCCGGGGGUUUAAAAGGCUCGGGCUGAAGCCACCGCUCUCUGCCCGGGUCGGCGGCGGGCCUGCGUUUUCAGCACCAGGGUCCGGACAGCUCCACGCCCUCCCCCGCACCGCCUCUUUCCUCACCGGGCCUGAGCUCAGGACGUGGGAGUGAGCGUCCCCCGUCCUGGCCUUUCUGACCUCUCCCCCGCCCCCAACGCACACAAGUCUGGUCCUUCCUCCCCAUCCAGAUCUCUGUUCCGUGCCCAGGUGCUAGAAGGGGCAAAAACCAGCCUGCAAGAUCUCAAGCUGACUGGCAGGCAUCACCAUGUUACCAGCAGCCUGGCUUCCUUCAAGGAGUAGGAACUCUGAAGAGAGGCUGCCAAGGCCUUGCUACAAGCUCCUCUUCCUACCUCAGUUCAUUAAAAUAAGUAAAUAAAGCCAGAUUUGUUCCUCAGAAGAGGUGCCAGCUUUCAGAAGGUGCUGGUGGGGUUCAGGAUUUUCUGGAUUCUUUAAACACAAUUAGUAGCUCCUGAUAUCACCUUUCAGACAGUCUCACAGUCCUGUCCAUCCUUCUUUUCCUAAAUCCAGGCCUCACCUGGUGGAGGAAGGGGUAGGGAUGGACACUGCCCACCUCUUUACUUCCCACAACAGUCAGAGAGGAUUUGGCUAAUGUCAUAGCUUUGGGGGCUCUGGAUAGGGUGAUGUCUAUGUGAGUUCUCACUACAGCUGUGCCUUGAACUGUUGAAGGUAAUUUUUGUGGUGACAGAGCUCUGUGUAGACUUGCUGGGCUGUGACCACACAGAGACUUUUGGGACAGCCCCCACUCCACAUUCUACCCCAAAUGGAAUCUAGGACACAGCAAAUCUACUUGUGGCUCUCUCUAUUUCCGGAUUCUUUUAGUUGAUGAAAGAUGGCACUAGACUAUUGCCCCUGACACCUCUCUCCACCUUGCUCAGGAAUUGUCUUAUUGUCAUCUCAACUUCUCCAGGUAGAGUAGUAUGCGUGAUGCCCCAGCUGGUUCAGGGAUGGGUGAAGGAAGCCAAGGAAAAGCCAGCUCUUUCCACCCUGCCCCACCCUGUUUCAGAAACCUGGAGACUAUGAACCUCUUUCCCUAUCUGAGAAUCAGAACACUCUUCUUCCCUAGAUAUUCUCCUCUCUCAGGCAGCAGAGAUUAGGCCAAACUUGUCAUAUUUGACCCAGGGGCAGAUCCAGGUGUUGUCUUUCUCCUACUGAGCCCAAAGCACUAGAGGAGGUCUGGGCUUGGUGGGGAGGGUGUCUCUUUACAGAAACUCUGGGACCUGGAGUGAGGCAUGCACACUGUCAGCAGGAAAUGGCCUUUUCUCUGAAGAAGCCAUUGUUCUGCUUGCUGCUCAGCUAUCAGAGUGAGGAGAGGGGGGAAAAAAUACAGUCUAGGGACAAAAGAAGGAGAGUCAGUAAUCUCAAUCCAGUGGCACUUCCUUCUCAGAGGGUAGAAGCCUAAGACCAGAUCCAUGACAUCCUCAGUUUCCAUAGGUCUCAAGGGGAGUAAAAAAACAGCUGUUUCCCCAAAGGAAUUCAUUUGCAUGACAAAGCUGUGUGUGACUUGGUUAAGGAGGUAACAGCAUGGGAAAAAUAUGAAAACAGCAAGGGGAUAUGCCUUCCACCAAAGGACAGUGCCCACUCCCCAGCGCUCCCCACCCCAGGGUCUUUGCAGCCAAAAUUUGUUCCUCUGGGAGGCAACAAAGCUGCCACCAUCUGCCUAGCCCCACUCCUGGCUACUUUCCAAGCUUCCCUGGCUCCCUGGCCUCCUUCUGUGUUCAGCUGGGUGACAUCUGGCUGUGGCCUCAGGGGAAGGCUGGCCAAGGUCGGGCAGAUACAGAGGUGUUUACCCUGGGGACCUGAGGCUGACUUCUCCUUUGGUUGUGUGGAGCAGGGACCUAGGAAGAAGAGCUAGGGAAGGUGAGGGGCCCCACCUGGCAAGAAACCUGCACAUGACAUUGCACUGGGUGCUGAGGAGAUCCCAGGCCUCUGAGGUUGUCCUUGUACACCACAGGGCAUCUGGGCCAGAGGUCCCACUCCCCAGGGUCAGAUGCACAGCAGAGAUCUGGACUACCUCAGCACCAGUCCCAGCACAAGGGGCCAAAUUUUCCCUUCAGCUCCCUGCUGAUUCUUAAGCAAG